AUGAAACUGACCUGCGUGACCACCCCCGGCAGAGGCGGCGGCUACCACUCGCCUGCGAGCCACUUACUGGAGCUGGAGGGGGUCCGCCUCCUCCUAGACUGCCCCGUCGACCUCUCGGCCCUCGCAGCAUUCGCCCCGGUGCCACUCGGCGCGGACUCCGGUGACGCGGGGAAGCUCAUCCGCGCGGUGCCGUACUACUGGUCGCUGGCGGCGCCGGCGGCCGCCAAAGCAGGUGGCGUGGAUGCUGUGCUUGUGUCGUCUGCCACGGGGAUGCUUGGGCUCCCCUUCCUCACCCGGCUCCCAAGCUUCGCAAAUACCAAGGUUUAUGUUACAGAGUUAGCUGCAAGGAUUGGAAAGCUAAUGAUGGGGGAGCUCGUGGAGAUGCACUCUGAGUUUGUAAGGUACUACGGGCCAGAUACGGAUGUGCCACCCAAGUGGAUGCAAGGGGAGAAACUCCAUAAACUCCUGUCGUCGUUGCAGAAUAUAGUGAUUGAAGAUGAGGGAAUGGAUUUAGCUCCUUUGAUGCCCCUUUACAGUGCCCCAAACAUAGAAGAAUGCAUGCGAAAAACCCAGACUGUGAAAUACGGAGAGGAGGUCUGCUUCAAUGGCAUGUUGAUGCUGAAAGCCUCUAGCUCUGGCCUGGAGCUUGGCAAUUGUGUCUGGUCAAUAAAGGGUCCGAGAGCAAGUAUUACCUACUUGCCAAGCACCAUGUUUGUGUCAGCCCAUGCCUUAGAUUGCGACUAUAACUCUCUGAAGGAAAAUGAUGUCAUUUUGUUUUCAGAUUUCUCAUCCUUGAAUGACAUGGAUGAGAAUAAUGAGAAUCUGGGUGAGAAUGCAAUGCUUUGUGAUGACUCUGUGUUGAGGGAUGGUGGUGUUGAUGAGGAUGAAGACGUCCAGUGCCUGUCUAAGAAUGAUGAUAUUGCAGAGGAGAUUGAGAGAAUCAGUUUCAUAUGCUCAUGUAUAUCAGAUGCAAUUAAAUCUGGAGGUUCUGUUUUAAUACCAAUAGGACGACUUGGGGUUAUUCUUUUAAUUUUGGAACAUAUAUCAGAAACGUUACUUUCUUCCAACAUGAAGGUACCCAUAUUUAUGAUUUCUGGCGCAGCAGAAAAAAUAAUAUCCUUUACCAAUGCUGUGCCAGAAUGGCUAUGUAAGCCACGCCAAGAAAAGCUAUUCUCGAGGGAGGAGGAGGCAUUAUUCGGCCAUGUGGAGCUUCUGAAGGAAGGCAGACUAUUUCUGUUUCCUCAUCUAUAUUCAAAGGGCCUGCUGGCAGCGUGGAAGGAGCCCUGCAUUGUAUUUUGUCCAGACUGGAGCCUUAGGCACAGCACAGCAGUCCAUUUGCUUCGUCGGUGGCAUGCAGAUAAACGAAAUCUUCUUAUUUUGGAGGAAGGAGUUGAUUCUGAGUUGACUCUUAAGCCUUUCAUGCCUGUGGCAAUCCAAGUUCUUGAAUGUUCUUUCCUUUCUGGAAUAAAGGUGCGGAAAGUCAAUCCAUUGCUGUCAGUUCUCAAACCGAAGCUCGUUCUGUUCCCUGAAGAACUGAAGUCGCGGUGUCCAUCAAAGGAGGAUGCCCCAUGGUCAUAUCUGUACUACUCCAAGGGCAAAACCAUGGAGAUCCCAAACAUACGGGAAGACUUCGAGGUGGGGCUUCCAACCGAUUUUGCCUUUGGGUUGCAGCCUAGGCAGUUGGACAAGGCCAUCGCCGUCGCGAGGCUGAGAGCAAAGCUCCAUCUCAGCAACGGGCAGUACGUGCUGGUAGCAGCUCCAAAGGAUCAGUCCGAUCAGUCGAUGCGGCAGCUGCUACACUGGGGAGCUGUGGAUGCAGCCCGUCUGUUGUCGGCGUUGCAGGAGAAGGGGAUCGCCUGUGCUUUCCCUGCAGACGACGAUGAUAGCUCGGCGGGCUGCGUGCGCUCGAUUUUGAUCACCAGUCCGGCAGAAGCUCUGGUGAAGAUAACAUCUGAAAAGACCAUGAUCUACUGCGACGAUGAGAAUACAACCAAGCAGAUCUAUGAUGCUCUCAGCAGCGUUUGUAAUGGGAUCUAG
rnacentral:rRNA from 1 species